CCUGGUUGAUCCUGCCAGUAGUUAUAUGCUUGUCUCAAAGAUUAAGCCAUGCAUGUCUAAGUAUAGUUAUAUACUGCGAAACUGCGGAUGGCUCAUUAAAUCAGCAAUAGUUCAUUUGAUUGUACCUUACUACAUGGAUACCCGUAGUAAUUCUAGAGCUAAUACAUGCACACAAACUCCUGUUUCAGGAUGUGUAUUUAUUAGAUAACAAAAACCAAGGCCGAUUGAACUUGCAGUCUUCGGAUUGUGGGGACAGUCAGUUGCUGAGGUGAAUCAUAAUAACUGUUCGAACCGCAAAGAGCUCAAAACUCAGCGGUAGGUCAUUCAAAUUUCUGCCCUAUCAGCUUUCGAUGGUAGUGUAGUGGACUACCAUGGCUUUGACGGGUAACGGAGAAUAAGGGUUCGAUUCCGGAGAGGGAGCCUGAGAAAUGGCUACCACAUCCAAGGAUGGCAGCAGGCGCGCAAAAUCCCCAAUCCUGACUCAGGGAGGGUGUGACAAUAAAUAACGAUACCGGAUCCAAAGGAUCUGGUAAUUGGAAUGAGUACAAUUUAAAUCCCUUAGCAAGGAUCCAUUGGAGGGCAAGUCUGGUGCCAGCAGCCGCGGUAAUUCCAGCUCCAAUAGCGUAUACUAAAAUUGUUGCAGUUAAAAAGCUCGUAGUUGGAUUUCUGGCAUUGAGGCUCCUGUUCCGUUUAAGAUCAAUGUGUUCGUUGGAUGUCCGUCAAGAUGUUUGAUGAACAGGAACUUGAAUGUGUCGAACUGAGAGCUACUGCCAUCAUUCGUGGAUGACAUAUUGGCUCUUCAUUGAGCUGAUUUGAAAUCCCGAUCAUUUACUUUGAAAAAAUUAGAGUGUUCAAAGCAGGCUAAAAGCAAUGAAUACAUGAGCAUGGAAUAAUAAGAUAGGACUUGAGUUCUAUUUUUAUUGGUUUCUAGGGCACAAGCCACGAUUGAUAGGGACAGUUGGGGGUGCUAGUAUUCAACGGCCAGAGGCGAAAUUCUGUGAUUCGUUGAGGACUAACAAAUGCGAAAGCAUUCACCAAGGAUGUCUUCUUUAAUCAAGAACGAAAGUUGAGGGAUCGAAGACGAUCAGAUACCGUCGUAGUCUCAACUAUAAACGAUGCCAACUAGGGAUUGAUGGACGUUAGAUAUUGUAUCAUGACUCCAUCAGGACCUUUCGAGAAAUUAAGAGUCAUUGGGUUCCGGGGGAAGUCCGAUCGCAAGGUUGAAACUUAAAGGAAUUGACGGAAGGACACCACAAGAAGUGGAGCCUGCGGCUUAAUUUGACCCAACACGGGAAAACUUACCAGGUCCAGACAUAGUGAGGAUUGACAGAUUGAAGAUCUUUCUUGAUUCUAUGGAUGGUGGUGCAUGGUCGUUCUUAGUUCGUGGAGUGAUUUGUCUGGUUAAUUCCGUUAACGAACGAGACCUCAGCUUAGUAACUAGUUAGGCAAAUUCUU
rnacentral:rRNA from 1 species